UACGGAGGGUGCAAGCGUUAUCCGGAUUCACUGGGUUUAAAGGGUGCGUAGGUGGGUUGGUAAGUCAGUGGUGAAAUCUCCGAGCUUAACUUGGAAACUGCCAUUGAUACUAUCAGUCUUGAAUAUUGUGGAGGUCAGCGGAAUAUGUCAUGUAGCGGUGAAAUGCGUAGAUAUACGGAGGAACACCAGCGGCGAAGGCGGGUAGCUGGGCCAACACUGACGCUGAUGUGCGAAAGCUAGGGGAGCAAACGGG
rnacentral:rRNA from 1 species